UACGAAGGGAGCUAGCGUUGUUCGGAAUCACUGGGCGUAAAGCGCACGUAGGCGGAUUGCUAAGUCAGGGGUGAAAUCCUGGAGCUCAACUCCAGAACUGCCUUUGAUACUGGCGACCUUGAGUCCGGGAGAGGUGAGUGGAACUGCGAGUGUAGCGGUGAAAUGCGUAGAUAUUGGGAGGAACACCAGUGGCGAAGGCGGCUCACUGGACCGGUACUGACGCUGAUGCGCGAAAGCGUGGGGAGCAAACGGG
rnacentral:rRNA from 1 species